rnacentral:rRNA from 1 species
CCUACGGGAGGCAGCAGUGGGGAAUAUUGGACAAUGGGGGCAACCCUGAUCCAGCAAUGCCGCGUGUGUGAAGAAGGCCUUCGGGUUGUAAAGCACUUUAGGCGGGGAAGCGGUACCCGCAGAAUAAGCACCGGCUAACUCUGUGCCAGCAGCCGCGGUAAUACAGAGGGUGCAAGCGUUAAUCGGAAUUACUGGGCGUAAAGGGCGCGUAGGUUGUUAUUUAAGUGAGAUGUGAAAUCCCUGGGCUUAACCUAGGACGUGCAUUUUAUACUGAAUGACUAGAGUGCAAUAGAGGGUAGUGGAAUUUCCGGUGUAGCGGUGAAAUGCGUAGAUAUCGGAAGGAACACCAGUGGCGAAGGCGGCUACCUGGAUGAACUGACACUGAGGCGCGAAAGCGUGGGGAGCAAACAGGAUUAGAUACCCUUGUAGUC